AACAAGGCGUACCUGCGGACCUGCGGAAGGAUCAUUACAGAGUUGAAAAACUCCCAACCAUUGUGAACCUACCUCACCGUUGCCUCGGCGGGUGGCCCCUCCCCCUCACCCGGGGUCGGGCCGCGCAGGCCCCCCGGCUCGCCCGGGCCAGGCCGGCAGUCCCGCCGCAGGUCCCGCAACUCUAAGUCUUUGUAUGGCCUCUCUGAGUACAACUUAUACAAUAAGUCAAAACUUUCAACA
rnacentral:misc_RNA from 1 species